rnacentral:misc_RNA from 1 species
GUUUUUUUUUUUUUUUUUAAACCUUAACCAUGUAACAUUGUAUUGAUUUUACCUUAAAAGCAUGAGUUUGACACUAUUUUUACUUGAUUCUAAGUUUCUAAAUGUUUCAAAUUGUGCACAUGUUUUUAAUUCAAGCUCAUAAAAUAUACAAAUCAACUCACAAACUCAUAGAAUAACAAUAAUUCUAAUUAUAUUUUGCUUGUUUGGCUCCUCGUAAGUCACAAAAAGAGUUUCUGAGAUCAGAAUCUUAAAUUUAGCAUAAGUAAUAAACCAAGCCAUUAUUAGCAAAUUAGCAAUGCAGAUCUUCUUAUUGCUAAGAGUAAUAUAAUUACAUGUGUUAAACUGCAAACCAACUAAUAACAUAACCGACUAAAAGCAUCAUCCAUCCAAAGAAGAAGACCAAGUCAUAAAGAAACUAACCGGAUAUGAAGCAUGGCCAUGCC